UACGGAGGGUGCAAGCGUUGUUCGGAUUUAUUGGGCGUAAAGCGCGUGUAGGCGGUCUCUUAAGUCUGAUGUGAAAGCCCCGGGCUCAACCCGGGAAGUGCAUUGGAUACUGGGAGACUUGAAUACGGGAGAGGGUAGUGGAAUUCCUAGUGUAGGAGUGAAAUCCGUAGAUAUUAGGAGGAACACCGGUGGCGAAGGCGGCUACCUGGACCGAUAUUGACGCUGAGACGCGAAAGCGUGGGGAG
rnacentral:rRNA from 1 species